rnacentral:lncRNA from 1 species
CUGACCCUCAUGGCUUAGAUCUGUAAGGUGGGUUAGUGUGCCCAGAGGCUAAUGUGAAUGCAAUGCCAGCUCCACUCCACAGCCAGCUCCACUCCAGGAGUCUAUGUCCCACCCCUAGCCCACUGUCCCAGACUGAGUCUCGAAGGCUUUCAGAAGGUGCCCUGAAGUCAUGGAAAGUCCCAUUCCCAACAUCCCCUCAUGCAUCUUCCCUGGGAAGACGCCAAGCCAAGCUAGAGUCACGAAGUUAGCACGGGUUCAACUCAGGCUCCCUAACAUCUGGGAACCUCUUCCAACCCAGGCUCUCUAGCAUGAAGGCUAUCCACCGGGUAGCAGUCUCCACCAGGAACCAAUGCAGUUCUUUGCUUCCAGGAAAACCCUCGCCUAACAGAGGACUUUGUUUCCCACCUGGAGACAGAACUGGAGCAGUCACGGUUACGGGAGACCGAGACUCUGGGGGCCCUUCGAGAAAUGCAGGACAAAGUUCUGGACAUGGAAAAGGUAUGGCUGGAGGAGACAUAGGGUUUGAGUGAGGUUUAGAAGAUGCAGAAACCAGGCAUGGCAACAUGCACCUGUAACCCCAGCACUAUGGUGGAGCU